rnacentral:lncRNA from 1 species
CAAUCCUAAGCCAGCUUUGCUUCAGUUGGAAAUUGCCCGCUCAAAUUAACGCUUUCACAAACAAUGCAUCAUUUGGGUCAUCAUUUCGCUGUGUGAUACGAUCAGGGAAGCAAGUCUGAAGUUAUUCUACUGAAAGCCUGUAUCUUUUGCCUGUUUUCAAGAAUCAGUCGCACCAUAUCGAAAACUUCAAAAUAUGGGUCGUCUACAGAAUAAAGAAAUAUGGUAUAUGCCGAUCAUUGAAAAUGGGUCCGCUGAAAUCUUCUAUAACUCAUCGAUUAAAUUUAGGAAUGGCAAGAAGAAGCAUACCAAUCAUCUGUGACUAUAGACGAUAGAGGUCAGGAAGAAAGAGAAGAAGCAAUGACGAAAGCAGUAGGCCCAUCCUUGGUAACAACAUGACUUCUUCAGGGAAAGUUUAAUGAUCUCUUUGUGUCACCAGAACUGAGAAUCCCGUACACAUCCAGACGGACACGGAACACAAUCCUCACCAUCACCACAUCACUCGACCUUCUGUCAGAGGACACGAUGUCGAUCUCUUCGUUUUAUAUCUUCUAUUUUCAAUAUCCCACUUGCCUAGUAAGACUCUCAUAUCUAUUCCGAAGAUCUUAUUAGAUAUUCAGGAUGGAGACAACAUUCCAUACACGGCCAUAUUUACAUUAAAAAAAAAAAACAUGCAGUGAGUUAAGAUAAUUAAGCUACUUUAUCUAUCUGUGUUAAUUCUUUAUUGCUGAAAUCUAGUAUAAUCAACACUCAGUGUCCUUAUAACUUUGGUUAAGGUUUGUUCUAUAACAAUAUCAGAAUUAUCUUAAAUCUGUAUAUUAUAAAAUGUUGGUUUUCACAAUUUCAAAUCUAAAUAGUGUUUUCUUAAUCAGAUGCCAAGUAUAUUAUUGGAUGUUCUUGGUAUACAUAUGACUAAGUUUGAAAAAGUUUCUUUUUGUAUAAUCAACAAAUGCAAAUGUUGGUGUUAUGACAUUACAGAGCAAAAUAUUUAGUUCUUUUAUAAUGCAUUAGGAUUUAUUUGGACAGAAACAGUUCGUACAUACCAAAUUCUCUAAUUUGUAUUAUCUACAUAUCACCCUUUUCACAAAGGAAUUUAUCUAUUUGUAUUAUGGAUUUUUUCAUCAUUCUGUCACUCGAGUACAAACCCAAAUUUUUCCCUAUAUACCUUGAAUUUGUAUCAAAAUUAUUGUUUUGAUAUUUUCAUGAUGAGGAUCAUAAUAACAUAUACUGAUACUGCAAUGUACAAAACUAUCCAUCGAACAAAAGUAAGCAAAUAUACUUCCAGAAAUAAUGAAGUUGUCAUAUGUAUAUUUUUAUAUUUGAAGUCCUUCAAUUGAAUAUCAACCUACAUUCACUUAUUGCCAUAUUGUUUUCAAUAAAAUAUACAUACAUGUAUUCCCUGUAUCGAGAAUGAAAUCUAAUUAAUGAUUAUAAUUACAACUUUGAAAAUUUACUUUGAUUUUUUUAUGCGAAUUCAUUUUGAUUUACUUUUUUCUGCCAUGAUUGUAUUUAGUGUAUAUAAAUAUGCAAUAUUUUUAACGCUUUUCUAAUGUUUUCAAGUUCAGGCCUGUCUCGAGUGGGGAUUCCUCUGGAAUGUACAUGCAAACUAUGCUCAGUGUAUUGAUUUGGAAUAUUUAGUAUAUAAUGCUUUAUUCGUUUCUUUCCUCUGUUGUUUUACCGUUUUUUUAAUCUACGAUUUAUUCUAAAAUAUGUACAUUUUUUAUUACUUUCUUUUGUUAUAUAUUUUGAAAAGUUUUUUUUAUCUCAUUAUAUAAAUUGAAAGAAAGAAUUUGAAUAUGAUGGUUUACAUAACCUUGUUAAAAGAAAAACAAAUCGUCAAAUAAUCGUAGUAUGAAGUGCGCAUUAAACUGCACUUCCUAAAAUAAUGUUAUGUUUAAAUCUCGAAGGAACAUCUUCAUUUGGAAAAGUAAAUAGGUUAUAGAUUUUGCAUAUAUGUAUGGAAGUUUAAUUUCAUUAACAGUCAGAUGAAAUAAUGUUGAUAUUAUUUUCUUGUGAACAAAUAACAAAUUCAAAACAUUUUAUUGUAAAGAAUGCAUUUAUUAAUGAAUACUGUCAAGGAGGUAUUUUUUUCUAUCUUAAUAGUGAGGAAUA